rnacentral:rRNA from 1 species
GAUGAACGCUGGCGGCGUGCCUAAUACAUGCCAGUCGAGCGAACGGACGAGAAGCUUGCUUCUCUGAUGUUAGCGGCGGACGGGUGAGUAACACGUGGAUAACCCACCUAUAAGACUGGGAUAACUUCGGGAAACCGUAGCUAAUACCGGAUAAUAUUUUGAACCGCAUGGUUCAAAAGUGAAAGACGGUCUUGCUGUCACUUAUAGAUGGAUCCGCGCUGCAUUAGCUAGUUGGUAAGGUAACGGCUUACCAAGGCAACGAUGCAUAGCCGACCUGAGAGGGUGAUCGGCCACACUGGAACUGAGACACGGUCCAGACUCCUACGGGAGGCAGCAGUAGGGAAUCUUCCGCAAUGGGCGAAAGCCUGACGGAGCAACGCCGCGUGAGUGAUGAAGGUCUUCGGAUCGUAAAACUCUGUUAUUAGGGAAGAACAUAUGUGUAAGUAACUGUGCACAUCUUGACGGUACCUAAUCAGAAAGCCACGGCUAACUACGUG